GAUCCUGCCUUCCAGCUACUAUCAACCCCUGAUAGACCUCCUUGUGGAAUCUGUCUUGUGUCCUCCAGAGGAGGCCGAUGACCUCACCCCACUCGCCCUUCUGGAAGAAGUAUGUUUGGUGGAGAGUCGUCAAGAUGUAUCCACCAAGCUUGUCAAGAUCUUCCUUGGGCAAGGCCUGGUUAUACCUUUCUUGGAUUACCUGAAUUUCCGUGAGAUUUCAAGAACAAUGGAUCCCAACACUCUCUUUCGUUCCAAC